CCUACGGGGUGCAGCAGUGGGGAAUAUUGGACAAUGGGCGAAAGCCUGAUCCAGCCAUGCCGCGUGUGUGAAGAAGGCCUUCGGGUUGUAAAGCACUUUCAGUGGGGAAGAAAGCCUUGAGGCUAAUACCCUCGACGAAUGACAUCACCCGCAGAAGAAGCACCGGCUAACUCCGUGCCAGCAGCCGCGGUAAUACGGAGGGUGCGAGCGUUAAUCGGAAUUACUGGGCGUAAAGCGCGCGUAGGCGGUCUGAUAAGUCGGUUGUGAAAGCCCCGGGCUCAACCUGGGAACGGCAUCCGGAACUGUCAGGCUAGAGUGUGGGAGAGGAAGGUAGAAUUCCCGGUGUAGCGGUGAAAUGCGUAGAGAUCGGGAGGAAUACCAGUGGCGAAGGCGGCCUCCUGGACCGACACUGACGCUGAGGUGCGAAAGCGUGGGUAGCAAACAGGAUUAGAUACCCGGGUAGUC
rnacentral:rRNA from 1 species